AACGAACGCUGGCGGCGUGCUUAACACAUGCAAGUCGAGCGAUGAAACACCUUCGGGUGCGGAUUAGCGGCGAACGGGUGAGGAACACGUGAGGAAUCUGCCUUCCACUCUGGGAUAACUCCGGGAAACCGGGGCUAAUACCGGAUACUUUCAACUGGCGGCAUCGCCGGUUGAAGAAAGUUUUUCGGUGGAAGAUGACCUCGCGGCCUAUCAGCUUGUUGGUGAGGUAAAGGCUCACCAAGGCGACGACGGGUAGCCGGCCUGAGAGGGCGACCGGCCACACUGGGACUGAGACACGGCCCAGACUCCUACGGGAGGCAGCAGUGGGGAAUAUUGGGCAAUGGAGGAAACUCUGACCCAGCGACGCCGCGUGAGGGAUGAAGGCCUUCGGGUUGUAAACCUCUUUCAGCAGGGAAUAAGCGAAAGUGUAGGUACCUGCAGAAGAAGCACCGGCUAACUAUGUGCCAGCCGCCGCCGUAA
rnacentral:rRNA from 1 species